rnacentral:rRNA from 1 species
AAAUGAAUUGACGGGGACCCGCACAAGCGGUGGAGCAUGUGGUUUAAUUCGACGCAACGCGAAGAACCUUACCAGGGCUUGACAUCCCUUGACCGCCAUGGAAACAUGGUUUUCGGGCCUUCGGGUCUGACAAGGAGACAGGUGGUGCAUGGUUGUCGUCAGCUCGUGUCGUGAGAUGUUGGGUUAAGUCCCGCAACGAGCGCAACCCCUAUUUUCAGUUGCCAGCACGUAAAGGUGGGAACUCUGAAGAAACCGCCGGUGACAAACCGGAGGAAGGUGGGGAUGACGUCAAAUCAUCAUGCCCUUUAUGUCCUGGGCUACACACGUGCUACAAUGGCCGGUACAGAGGGUAGCGAAGCCGCGAGGUGAAGCGAAUCCCCAAAGCCGGUCUCAGUUCGGAUUGCAGGCUGCAACCCGCCUGCAUGAAGUCGGAAUCGCUAGUAAUCGCGAGUCAGCAUAUCGCGGUGAAUACGUUCCCGGGUCUUGCACACACCGCCCGU